rnacentral:rRNA from 1 species
AUUGAACGCUGGCGGCAUGCUUUACACAUGCAAGUCGAACGGUAACAGGCCGCAAGGUGCUGACGAGUGGCGAACGGGUGAGUAAUGCAUCGGAACGUGCCCAGUCGUGGGGGAUAACUACUCGAAAGAGUAGCUAUACCGCAUACGAUCUAUGGAUGAAAGCGGGGGACCGUAAGGCCUCGCGCGAUUGGAGCGGCCGAUGUCAGAUUAGGUAGUUGGUGGGGUAAAGGCUCACCAAGCCAACGAUCUGUAGCUGGUCUGAGAGGACGACCAGCCACACUGGGACUGAGACACGGCCCAGACUCCUACGGGAGGCAGCAGUGGGGAAUUUUGGACAAUGGGCGCAAGCCUGAUCCAGCAAUGCCGCGUGCAGGAAGAAGGCCUUCGGGUUGUAAACUGCUUUUGUACGGAACGAAACGGCUCUGGUUAAUACCCGGGGCUAAUGACGGUACCGUAAGAAUAAGCACCGGCUAACUACGUG